GGUAAACGCUGGCGGCGUGCUUAACACAUGCAAGUCGAGCGGAAAGGCCCUUCGGGUACUCGAGCGGCGAACGGGUGAGUAACACGUGAGUAACCUGCCCUUGGCUCUGGGAUAGCUCCGGGAAACCGGAAUUAAUACCGGAUAUGACCUCGGCCGACAUCGGCUGUGGUGGAAAGAUUUAUCGGCCAGGGAUGGGCUCGCGGCCUAUCAGCUAGUUGGGUGGGGUAACGGCCUACCAAGGCGACGACGGGUAGCCGGCCUGAGAGGCGACCGCCACACUGGACUGAGACACGGCCCAGACUCCUACGGGAGGCAGCAGUGGGGAAUAUUGCGCAAUGGGCGAAAGCCUGAUGCAGCGACGCCGCGUGAGGGAAG
rnacentral:rRNA from 1 species